rnacentral:rRNA from 1 species
UCGAGCGCACCCUUCGGGGCGAGCGGCGGACGGGUUAGUAACGCGUGGGAACGUACCCUUUUCUACGGAAUAGCCUCGGGAAACUGAGAGUAAUACCGUAUACGCCCUUCGGGGGAAAGAUUUAUCGGAGAAGGAUCGGCCCGCGUUAGAUUAGGUAGUUGGUGGGGUAAUGGCCUACCAAGCCUACGAUCUAUAGCUGGUUUUAGAGGAUGAUCAGCAACACUGGGACUGAGACACGGCCCAGACUCCUACGGGAGGCAGCAGUGGGGAAUCUUGGACAAUGGGCGCAAGCCUGAUCCAGCCAUGCCGCGUGAGUGAUGAAGGCCUUAGGGUCGUAAAGCUCUUUCGCCAGGGAUGAUAAUGACAGUACCUGGUAAAGAAACCCCGGCUAACUCCGUGCCAGCAGCCGCGGUAAUACGGAGGGGGUUAGCGUUGUUCGGAAUUACUGGGCGUAAAGCGCGCGUAGGCGGACUAUUAAGUUAGAGGUGAAAUCCCAGGGCUCAACCCUGGAACUGCCUUUAAUACUGGUAGUCUUGAGUUCGAGAGAGGUGAGUGGAAUUCCGAGUGUAGAGGUGAAAUUCGUAGAUAUUCGGAGGAACACCAGUGGCGAAGGCGGCUCACUGGCUCGAUACUGACGCUGAGGUGCGAAAGUGUGGGAGCAAACAGGAUUAGAUACCCUGGUAGUCCACACCGUAAACGAUGAAUGCCAGUCGUCGGGUA